UGACACUGGAUUAUCUAUACCUGUGUUGGGUAUGGGCAUGUCUGUGUUUUCUGUUCCUGUACAUAAGCUAAUGCUACAUUCGGGACUGUUUGAUGGGGAAGUAAGGAUGGGUGUUCGACCUGCGCUGCCUGUGGUUGGUGUCACAGUUAUACUUGGAAACAAUAUAGCUGGAGGGAAAGUAUGGCCUGGUCAACCGGAAUAUCCUGGUGUUCCAGUAUCUUUGAUCAACAGUGGUCUUGACGAAAAUAAAAACUCACACCCUGAAGUUGUUCAAGCAUGUGCAGUGACACGGGCAAUGAAAGCAGUCAGUGAUGUACAUCAGGAUGAAGAUUUUGGAAAAGUUAAACAGACGUCCGGUUUUUGUUUGUCUAACAUUCCUUUGUCUAUUUCACAGAAGGAUCUGGGGCAGGAGCAAAGAUCUGACCCCACAAUACAGCAUUUGUUUCAGUCUGCAGUACCUGAUGUUCCAUCCUGCACACACUUGAUUGAACAUGAUAUUGAGGUUGCCCAGGGUUCCGAGGGACCCUGUUUUGAAGGGGGGGAGUGUUACGGCC